rnacentral:lncRNA from 1 species
AUAUGUGUGUCAUGUCUAUUUUACUGUUUGUUGGUUGUUUUUUUAGAGCAAGAGAUCAGAUUUGAAAUGAAGGACACUACUGAGAAGGACUUGAUGACAUUCAGGGAUGUGGCUGUGGACUUUACCCAGGAGGAGUGGGGACUCUUGGACCCUUCUCAGAGGGAGUUGUACAAGGAGGUCAUGCUGGAGAAUACCUGGAACCUGCUCUCCCUAGGUAAGGGCAUUUCCCAGGGUAACUCUGAAUCUGCAAUUAAAGGGCAUAGCUUCAUUUCCUGGGGUGCAGAAUUUGGGGGUAUAUUACUUAGGAAGGAGAAAGUGCUUGUCUGUUGUGUUCCAAGCAACAGAGUCCUCCUGUGUGUCUUUUUUUGUAUAAUAGAAAAUUGAGGGUGUCCUUGGUUGCUCCUGAAACUGUCUCUUACCACUUCUAGGUAGCUUCAAGUCAAAGUUCAAAUCACUGUGGAAGCAUCUCACACAAGGAUCUAAUCUGAGCUUAUUUUGGCUGACCUCUACCUGGACACAGACUGGUCUACCAAAGCUCAGAAAAUUGCUCCCACAGUUAUUGCUGAUAAGUAGUCCCUCUUUGGCAUGGCCAGGAUUUGGAAUAUUUGUUUUAAUGAGCAUCACUUUGUAGCCUAAAGCCCAUGGUUGUUUCUAGUAUGGGAAACUUGUUCUGAAUUUUCCUUCCUUUUGCCAUCAGAUUCUACCAGCACUGAUGGGAAAAGAAAGGAAGGGAAUGAGCAUUUCUUUUCAGCUACAGUUUCCCACGUGCUGUGCCUUAUGCUUUCUUUAUAAUACAUUAACAACAAUACAAUACAAAACAAUUUCCCAUUGUUUAAGAACAAACUGCCACAAAAGGUUUUGCAAUUGUCAUUGCUGAAAAAUUACCCAUGCAUAUAUCUUGUAAAUAAAAAGCUAUAAUAAAAAAAAAAAAGAAAAAAAAAAAGAAAAAACUUCCAGCAAAUAAGUUAUUUUGAUUAUUCUAAAUACCCAAAUUAAUGAAAAAGCACAAAUGAACAAAGAUGUGAUUUGUACUAAGAUAAAGAACUAAUAGAAACAUGUAUGGCAUAAUUUUACUUUAGACCCAAUAACCCUUUUUAUCCAAGAAUGGAGUUAGAAUCUUAUGCCAGAAUGGAAUCUAAUAGGAUAACAGGAGGGCAAGGAGAGAAGAGCAUUUGACUCUUUCUCUAAAAAAAGUUGUACAGGAGGAUAAUGGGACAAGAAAAGUAUUUCUUGCAUUACAACCAAUAGUGGGUGACCAUGCACUCAUGUUUCCGUAUAGUGGGGUGAAUCUGAAUGGAGCAGCUCUGAAUCCUCUCCCCAUUCCCCAAAGAGAACUAAAUUUCAAGCUUCUCUCCUUCAUCCCUCUCUGAUUUCCAUGACCAGGGCUUUGUGUUCCUAGAGAAGAUGUGAUCUCAUAUUUUAAACAGAGGGAAGCCCCCUGGGUGCUGGAACAAGAAGGCCUGAGGAGCUGCUCUGCAGGUGAGUGAGGUGAAAGCAGGGAUAUGAGAGUUACAUGGAAUUUCUAGGAAUUACCCUGAAGAAAAUGCUGGGUUUGGGGGAGAAAGACCAUCCUUGUAAUUCGUUUUCAGAUAUGUUUUAGGCAGAUCUCUUUUUCAGAUUCUCCUGCUCCAGUCCCUGAAUCUGUUUCCCAUUUGUACAAUGAGUGGGAGGCACUCCAUGGCCUUGUAGAUCCCUUCCAGUGAUUAUCUAGGAUCCUACAAGAAGUCAUUGUUUGCACUUUGGGGCAAAGAAGUUCUCUAAAAAUUGCCAAAUUGUGAAUCAGAUUGUCCCAUAUGACCCAUUUUCUUAGAACUUCUCCAAAUUAGCAAACAUUUAAGUGCCUGCUAUAAGCCAGGCCCUGAGUUAUGCCCCAGGAACAUAAAAAGAUGCAAGGGACUUCCCCUGCUCUCCUGCAGUUUACACAUCACUGGGGCACAUAUACCAGUAAGUCUGUAGAAACCUACUGUGGGCCGGAUAAAUUAGAGAACUUUAGUGCCUCCCUAAAUCAUUAAGUAAUUAAGGUAAUAAUUAAGGAGAGUAAAAUUGGGGAGAUAAUGGUUAAAAUGAAAUACCAUACCUAGCAUAUAUACAGCACCUUCUAUGACAUGCAGUGUGUCAGUAUUGUCUCAUUUUAUCCUCAUGAGAACCCUAGGACUUGGGUACUGUUAUUGUGUCCUUUUUAUACAUAAAGAAACUGAGACAAACAGAGGUCUUGUAAGUUGAUUAGCAAGUUGCUGAGGUGGGAUGAACACUCAGUUUAUUGCUGACUUAAGGCCCUAUCGACAUUUUUUCCUUGUAAGACAUCAGCUGAUUCUGAAACAGAUAUGAUGAAAACAGUCACAUGUGUAUGAGGUAGACAGUGGAAGGAGAGGUGAACAAGCUCCUCUUGAGAGAUGGAAUCUCAUUUAUUUAAAUGCUAACUAUUGGAAAUUACUUGCAAAUUACUCUUAAAAUGAGCUAUAUUUCCACUGGCCCAUGACAAAUAGUGCUUUAAAUAGCAAAUGUACUCAAAGGUCAAUUUCAAAUAGUACAUUAUAUUGUUUUCUUGGUUGUUAAUAAUGUUUAAUUCUCAAAAACAUGUUUUAAAAGGAUAGAAUAUCUUCAGAUUUUUUUUUUUCUAACCACUGGUAAAGUCACUUGUCUCACUGACACUGUACUGAACAUUUAAUCCACAUCGGCAACCAAAUCCACAUGGAGCAAAAGAAACAUAAACAGAGGAUAAGUUCAAAUUAAAAGACCUCUUCAGCAUGUCAGUGAGUGGCCCCUUAGGGCUCUUUUUGUGGAAGGGUUGUGGUCUCCCAUGGGGAUUUCAGGAUGGCCUCUACUGGGCAUUCCUAGUGACUGGUUUUCAAGUAGGCUGCCAUCCCUGGGGCCAGAGUGCAGAACUAGGGACUGUCUAGAUCAGGUGAUUACAGGUUUGAGGAGAUGUGGUCACUAGGGAACCCAGCAAUAAGAGAACUGCUCUGGUACAGGGAGAGAGACACUGAGGACCUUUGCAGGCCGUGGCCCUUUGUUCAUGAAUGUCCAACCUUCCUGGAAUUCUCAAAACAGUUUGGUGUCAGAUUGAGAAUCUGGAAGAAUCUCUUGCCCUUAGAAGUUGUUAGAGUUUGAUGGAAGCUUCCUAUGAACCACAGAAGCUGUGUAUUCCUGAUCAUGACCAUUUGUCGUCACGGAGAAAGACAGUUGUUAAGGUGGAUAUAUGCACAAACUUGUCUCAGAGGACAAUUUACCACUUAAUACAGCACAUAUUUUUGGAUCAAAUCCCUUAGAUCAUUAUCUCAAUCCUUCAAGGGAUUUUGAACUUCUAAAUGGGAAGGGUGCAAUAGCAUGCUCUGUCCUUCCAUGCCCCAGAAUGAUUAACUCUGUUUUCUGGAUGAGACCCCUUAUUCUCAUGUGUGUGUGAUUUCAGGCAAUUUUAAAAAAUUGGGUUUUUAAAAAAAUAUGCAGGGGCAUGUUAUAAUAAAAUUUUAAAAAGGAAUAAGCAAUGAUUAUUUGAAAGAAGAAAAACAUUAGAAAAAAACCACGUACACCUCUGGUUAAAAAAAACAAAACAAAACAAUAACCUCAACAGGGUUAGUAUUCAAAUAAUAUAUCAGAAAAAAAAUUGAAAGUGAUAACUUGAAAGUGCAAAUAAUGAAUGGGAAAUAGAAAAAUUGAGCGUGAAGACAAAUUAUCAAAUACUAUAGGCAGAGCCUAUACUACUUGCCAUUUUGAGGAAGCAAUUGGGGGAAGGAAGGGAGAAAAAAAUUUGGAACAUAAGGCAUUGCAAGGGUGAAUGUUAAAAAUGAUGAGUGCAUAUAUUUUGAAAAUAAAAAGGUUGAAUAAAAAAUAUUUUUCUCUUUUCUGGAGAAAUAGAAAAUAACAGAUUCUGUUCUGGUGAUAAAGGAAAGGGGGUAUUAAUAUAUAUAUAUGGGUAUGGUAUCUAUUUUAUUGUUUGUUGUUGGUUGUUUUGUCAGAACAAGAGAUGAAACUUGAAAUGAAGGACACUACUGAAGAGAUAAAUCUUUCUCUGGUAGAACCUCACAAGCCAAGAAUCAUAAGUCUCUGUGACUUUACUUG